AACGAACGCUGGCGGCAGGCUUAACACAUGCAAGUCGAGCGCCCCGCAAGGGGAGCGGCAGACGGGUGAGUACCGCGUGGGGACGUACCCUUAUCUUCGGGAUAGCCCCGGGAAACUGGAAUUAAUACCGAAUGUGCCCUUUGGGGGAAAGAUUUAUCGGAUAAGGAUCGGCCCGCGUUGGAUUAGCUAGUUGGUGGGGUAAAGGCCUACCAAGGCGACGAUCCAUAGCUGGUCUGAGAGGAUGAUCAGCCACAUUGGGACUGAGACACGGCCCAAACUCCUACGGGAGGCAGCAGUGGGGAAUAUUGGACAAUGGGCGCAAGCCUGAUCCAGCCAUGCCGCGUGAGUGAUGAAGGCCUUAGGGUUGUAAAGCUCUUUCACCGGAGAAGAUAAUGACGGUAUCCGGAGAAGAAGCCCCGGCUAACUUCGUG
rnacentral:rRNA from 1 species